UACGAAGGGGGCUAGCGUUGCUCGGAAUUACUGGGCGUAAAGCGCACGUAGGCGGCUCUUUAAGUCGGGUGUGAAAUCCUGGAGCUCAACUCCAGAACUGCCUUCGAUACUGGAGAGCUUGAGUUCGGGAGAGGUGAGUGGAACUGCGAGUGUAGAGGUGAAAUUCGUAGAUAUUCGCAAGAACACCAGUGGCGAAGGCGGCUCACUGGCCCGAUACUGACGCUGAGGUGCGAAAGCGUGGGGAGCAAACAGG
rnacentral:rRNA from 1 species